rnacentral:rRNA from 1 species
ACUCAAAUGAAUUGACGGGGGCCUGCACAAGCGGUGGAACAUGUGGUUUAAUUCGACGCAACGCGAAGAACCUUACCUACUCUUGACAUCUUCGGAAUCUGCUAGAGAUAGCGGAGUGCCUUCGGGAACCGAAAGACAGGUGCUGCAUGGCUGUCGUCAGCUCGUGUCGUGAGAUGUUGGGUUAAGUCCCGUAACGAGCGCAACCCUUGUCCUUAGUUGCCAACAGGUAAAGCUGGGAACUCUAAGGAGACUGCCGGUGACAAGCCGGAGGAAGGUGGGGAUGACGUCAAGUCCUCAUGGCCCUUACGAGUAGGGCUACACACGUGUUACAAUGGGCAGUACAACGGGAAGCGAAACCGCGAGGUGGAGCGAAUCUUAUUAAAGCUGCUCGUAGUCCGGAUUGGAGUCUGCAACUCGACUCCAUGAAGUUGGAAUCGCUAGUAAUCGUGGAUCAGAACGCCACGGUGAAUACGUUCUCGGGCCUUGUACACACCGCCCGU